CCACAAAACAUUCUUGUGAGAAUCUGGUGAGAUCCUCCUUUGAAAAAUUGGAAACAGUGAGUUUCUCCUCAGAGACAACAUCUGAGAAGGUUUGAUGUUUGCAGAAAGAAAGAAGCUGGACAUAGUGAGAAGCCUGGGACUGUGAGGUCCUCCUCCAAGAGGCUGGAGACUGCAGGUUUUUCUGCUGAGAUGCUGCAGACUGGGAGUCCCCCUUUCAAAUGUCUUGGCCAGACUGGGUUUCUGCUGGUGCUUGACAGGAUUGGGGAGAUGGGAAGGCCGAGGGUGAGUGUGGAGGGUGAGUUUGCAGAGUCUUCAGCUGGUAGCCAAAGCCACAAAGAACAUCUUUGCUGUGGAAAGCCAGAAAAGCCAGGUGCCCCUGAACUUCUUCAGUAAUUGUGUCUACUUAGACCCCUGGUUGUGGAGCCUAGAUCAGGAUCUUGGGAAGCUUCACAAAGCUGCCAUCCAGGGGAAACGAUGGAAGGUGCAGCAGAUCCUUGUCCUCAAUGGAAGCACUU
rnacentral:lncRNA from 1 species